rnacentral:misc_RNA from 1 species
GGGACUUGUCUCCUCUUUGGGACAUUGAUCUUGAAGGAAAGGUAAAUGGAGCUGUGGAAACUUGUAAAGGUGAUGACGAGUGGGUAAUGUCAAAGCGGUUCCGCAACUACUUUAAUUUCUCACAUCCAAUCAUCGCAAAACAUUUAAAUCCUGAUGAAUGUGCCUGGGCCUAUGGGAUGAACGUUUUUGAUCUUCAUGCUUGGAGAAGGACAAAUAUACGGGAA